GCCGACUUAGCUCAAUUGGUAGAGCAACUGACUUGUAAUCAGUCAGGUUGGGSGGUUCGAAGUCCUUCAUAGUCGGCUCUA
rnacentral:tRNA from 1 species